GAUGAAGAACGUAGCAAAAUGCGAUAAGUAAUGUGAAUUGCAGAAUUCAGUGAAUCAUCGAAUCUUUGAACGCACAUUGCGCCCGCCAGUAUUCUGGCGGGCAUGCCUGUUCGAGCGUCAUUUCAACCCUCAAGCCCCCGGGUUUGGUGUUGGGGAUCGGCGAGCCUCACGGCAAGCCGGCCCCGAAAUACAGUGGCGGUCUCGCUGCAGCUUCCAUUGCGUAGUAGUAAAACCCUCGCAACUGGUACGCGGCGUGGCCAAGCCGUUAAACCCCCAACUUCUGAAUGUUGACCUCGGAUCAGGUAGGAAUACCCGCUGAACUUAAGCAUAUCAAUAAGCGGAGGA
rnacentral:misc_RNA from 1 species